GAGUACCCGAAAUUUUUCUUUCCUUUAAAAAUUCCGGCCUUUUUCACAGUUUGGCCUUCCAUCCUUGCGUUCGUCUUAAGAAAUGGGAAAAAAAUCGCGUAUUAUCUUUUAUUCCACCGGAAGGAAAGUUUGCUCUAAUGGAAUACUCUGUUGAAAAAGAUAAGUUUCCAUUACCUCUGCAAAUCUCUCAUUCGUGGAAAUCACAGGGUGACAGCCUUCAUUUGAAAGUUGAC